GCGGCAAGUUCGCAGCCGUCAGUCUUUCUCGAAACGGUCGACGCGCUCUCGCGCAUGUAACCGAUAAGAAUAGACUAACACACGUUUGCAAAGUCACCGAGGAAAGAUGCCGGGAUUUCCACCCGAAAGACGUGAUGUUGCAGAUCGUUCCUACAAUAAGAAUACGCCACUGACAUACGGCGACACCCUUAUGUGUCUUACGAUUCUCACCUUAGGUUCCACACAUAGCAUGUUUCCUGCUUGAGUUCCACAACAGUUUGACAUGAUAACACAGGAUAACACGACGGUUUAUCGUCAUGGCAAC